rnacentral:rRNA from 1 species
AGAGUUUGAUCCUGGCUCAGGACGAACGCUUGCGGCGUGCCUAAGAAAUGCAAGUCGAACGGGGGCUUCGGCCCCAGUGGCGAACGGUCGCGUAACACGUAAGCAACCUGCCCUGAAGUGGGGGACAACAUCCCGAAAGGGGUGCUAAUACCGCAUGUGGUCACGAGUCGGCAUCGACUUGUGUCUAAAGAUUUAUCGCUUCAGGAUGGGCUUGCGGCCUAUCAGGUAGUUGGUGGGGUAAUGGCCUACCAAGCCGACGACGGGUAGCUGGUCUGAGAGGACGAUCAGCCGGAUUGGGACUGAGAUACGGCCCAGACUCCUACGGGGGGCAGCAAUUAGGAAUCUUGCGCAAUGGGGGCAACCCUGACGCAGCGACGUCGCGUGAAGGAUGAAGGCCCUCGGGUCGUAAACUUCUUUUGAGUGGGAAGAAAUUUGACGGUACCACUCGAAUAAGCCCCGGCUAACUACGUGCCAGCAGCCGCGGUAAUACGUAGGGGGCGAGCGUUGUCCGAAGUUACUGGGCGUAAAGCGCGCGUAGGCGGUUAUUUAAGUCUGGGGUGAAAGGUUCAGCGCUCAACGUGAACAGUGCCUUGGAUACUGGAUGACUUGAGUCUGGGAGGGGGAAGGGGAAUUCCUGGUGUAGCGGUGAAAUGCGUAGAUAUCAGGAGGAACACCGGUGGCGAAGGCGCCUUCCUGGCCUAAGACUGACGCUGAGGUGCGAAAGCGUGGGGAGCAAACGGGAUUAGAUACCCCGGUAGUCCACGCCGUAAACGAUGAGUGCUAGGUGUCGGGGGUAUCGANNNNNNNGGUGCCGUCGCUAACGCAUUAAGCACUCCGCCUGGGGAGUACGGCCGCAAGGUUGAAACUCAAAGGAAUUGACGGGACCCCGCACAAGCGGUGGAGCAUGUGGAUUAAUUCGUCACUAA